GAUGAACGCUGGCGGCGUGCCUAACACAUGCAAGUCGAGCGGCAGCGAGGGGUGCUUGCACCCUGUCGGCGAGCGGCGGACGGCUGAGUAACGCGUGGGAACGUGCCCCAAAGUGAGGAAUAACUGCCCGAAAGGGUAGCUAAUACCGCAUAUUAUCUUCGGAUCAAAGGAUUUAUCCGCUUUGGGAGCGGCUCGCGUCGGAUUAGGUAGUUGGCGAGGUAAUGGCUCACCAAGCCGACGAUCCGUAGCUGGUCUGAGAGGGUGACCAGCCAGACUGGAACUGAGACACGGUCCAGACUCCUACGGGAGGCAGCAGUGAGGGAUCUUCCACAAUGGGCGAAAGCCUGAUGGAGCAACGCCGCGUGCAGGACGAAGGCCUUCGGGUUGUUAACUGCUUUUAUAAGUGAGGAAUAUGACGGUAACUUAUGAAUAAGGAUCGGCUAACUACGUG
rnacentral:rRNA from 1 species